rnacentral:tRNA from 1 species
AUUUAAGUAGUUAAAUUUAUAAUAUGAUUUUGAAGCAGUCAAGAUAGAAGGGAUUCUCUUAAAUG